GACGACUUUCUCGCAAACCUCUGCUGGUAAUGACUAGCAGCGUGAGGUAGAAUAAGGUAGCAAGUAAACUCUAAGCUGAUACGAGCUAGGAGCUAAAACAACUCUGCCUGAUAUGUACGGAAACAGCAACUGUAGUUAUAACGAUUCUAGCUUGACUAGUAAGAUAUUUGUUAUAUUUGAUACAGUAAGGACCAUUUUUUGAGCCACUUCGAUUUCCGAGCUAUGUUGUGGUUACUGUGUGAAGUGAAACUGCCGUGAUGCACAGGAGCCCUUGAUAACCAUAUACAUCAGCAGACUUAGAUCGGUAGAAACCACGAUAGCCUACGUCACGAGCCGGAGGCCUGCUGUUAUUGCAUGAUGAUCGCUCAGACUGGUUGUAUCGGUUUUCUCCAAGUCGUUCCCGUGCCUGCCCCAGCUCGAUUCUUGCUUAUAUAGUGAUCGUACCUCAGCAGGAAACAAUGCAUAUGACUCAAUUACGAAAGCAGCAGUGACAGUAUCAGCAACAAGGAAGUGAAAAAUAAGGAAAAAAGGACCGGGCCGGACAGCAAAAAGAGACAUUGUAGAUCGUCGGAAUAGGUCAGAAAAAUUAUCUGAAACUGAACAGAACGAGAUUGAAAAAGUAAUUUACUUUUAGCGUUCUAACAACGGCACCUACCUCUCAUGUUACGGUGGACCUGCAGGUGAGGCAAAGGGGUGGGCCUGUUGCUCGUUACGCAGCUCGUUUCGCGGCAUCUGAGAAAAGGAAAUCGAUAAGAGAUUAAAAUGAAAUACUUCCACAUCGAUACCUUCUGAGAACUCGAGGAAGCGCUCCGGACGACCAGCGUCUGCAUCGUGUCGGAGACAUGACGCCGUUUCGG